GCCUUUGUGGUGUAAUGGUCAGCAUACUGAGCCGUAUUUCAGAGGUCCGUGGUUCGAUUCCCGGCGAAGGAA
rfam:Stegodyphus mimosarum contig96955, whole genome shotgun sequence.